rnacentral:rRNA from 1 species
GACGAACGCUGGCGGCGUGCUUAACACAUGCAAGUCGAACGGUAAGGCACUGCGGGGUACACGAGGGGCGAACGGGUGAGUAACACGUGGGCGAACUGCCGUGCACUUCGGGAUAAGCCUGGGCAACUGGGGCUAAUACCGGAUAGGACCCUGGGAUGCGCGUUCUGGGGUGGGAGGCUUUUGCGGUGUGGGAUGGGCCCGCGGCCUAUCAGCUUGUUGGUGGGGUGAUGGCCUACCACGGCGACGACGGGUAGCCGGCCUGAGAGGGUGACCGGCCACACUGGGACUGAGAUACGGCCCAGACUCCUACGGGAGGCAGCAGUGGGGAAUAUUGCACAAUGGGCGCAAGCCUGAUGCAGCGACGCCGCGUGAGGGAUGACGGCCUUCGGGUUGUAAACCUCUUUCAGCACCGACGAAGCGCAAGUGACGGUAGGUGCAGAAGAAGGACCGGCCAACUACGUGCCAGCCGCCGCCGUAA